GGGGUGCUCGAGUGGCGAACGGGUGAGUAACACGUGAGUAACCUGCCCUUGACUUUGGGAUAACUUCAGGAAACUGGGGCUAAUACCGGAUAGGAGCUCCUGCUGCAUGGUGGGGGUUGGAAAGUUUCGGCGGUUGGGGAUGGACUCGCGGCUUAUCAGCUUGUUGGUGGGGUAGUGGCUUACCAAGGCUUUGACGGGUAGCCGGCCUGAGAGGGUGACCGGCCACAUUGGGACUGAGAUACGGCCUAG
rnacentral:rRNA from 1 species